rnacentral:rRNA from 1 species
AUGGAUGGCGACCGGCGCACGGGUGAGUAACACGUAUCCAACCUGCCGACAACUCUGGGAUAACGGCUGGAAACGGUCGCUAAUACCGCAUGACGUGUUCGGAUGGCAUCAUCUGAACAUCAAAGAUUUAUCGCUGAAAGAUGGGCUCGCGUCUGAUUAGCUUAGUUGGUGAGGUAACGGCCCACCAAGGCGACGAUCAGUAGCCGACCUGAGAGGGUGAUCGGCCACAUUGGAACUGAGAGACGGCCCAGACUCC